ACCUGGUUGGCGCAGUGGGCAGCGCGUUGCGGAAAGGCAGGUAACCAGGGCGUCAAGUCUGCAAUUAGGCUUCGUCCUCUAACUUGUAGUUGGCUUGGCGAGUGAAGGCACCUUGCAGAGGUCCUCGGUUCGAAUCUGACAUCGGGUG